rnacentral:rRNA from 1 species
AACGAACGCUGGCGGCAUGCCUAACACAUGCAAGUCGAACGAGACCUUCGGGUCUAGUGGCGCACGGGUGCGUAACGCGUGGGAACCUGCCCUUAGGUUCGGAAUAACUCCCCGACAGGGGUGCUAAUACCGGAUAAUGUCUUCGGACCAAAGAUUUAUCGCCUUUGGAUGGGCCCGCGUUGGAUUAGCUAGUUGGUAGGGUAAAAGACUACCAAGGCGACGAUCCAUAGCUGGUCUGAGAGGCUGAUCAGCCACACUGGGACUGAGACACGGCCCAGACUCUUACGGGAGGCAGCAGUGGGGAAUAUUGGACCAUGGCCGAAGGCCUGAUCCAGCAAUGCCGCGUGAGUGAUGAAGGCCUUAGGGUUGUAAAGCGCUUUUACCCGGGAUGAUAAUGACAGUACCGGGAGAAUAAGCCCCGGCUAACUCCGUG